AAAAAAAAAAAUCACUCGAACCCUAGGAACUCCCUUCUCCCAUCUCCCAUCGAAACAAUCCUCUCUGAAUCACCACCACGACCAUCACCACCGUCCUCUCUCAUCCGCCAGCCAUCUCCACCUUCUCUCUGUCUACCUCGUCUCUUCCUUGUCACCACGGUUCCUCUCCACCGUCUCAUCAUGUCGUAAUCUCUCUUUCUCUCUUUUUUUUCCUCUGGUCAAGUCUAACUUCUUUGAUUUCUCCAUCCUGAUCUAUUUUGUGAGUCAAUUUUGGCAUAUUAUGAUGAAAGCUUGUUAGUGGUGGGGUGUUGAUGUUGCCGUAAUCUCCUCCUCGUCACAACCGCUCAUCUCCUCCUCUUCUCCUUCUAUGUUGUUGACAGGCCCACUGUAAUCAAUAUACACGUUUCUUCAAGAAUCUGAUGACCAGAUUCAAGGUUAUUCUAAAGGCUAGGAGACUUUGUUUGGUUGAUAACACGAGUUUCUUCGGAGAUGCAGCAAGUUGGUUUCAGGAGACUGCUAAAGGGAAAAGUUUGGUAGGAGUACAGAAUUGUUGAAGCUAGAAGAUUUGAUUGAACAACUUAAUGCUAGAACUGUAGCCGUUUCACCAUUCUCGUAUGAUGUUAAGAGGGAAGACGUGGAAGCCUUCUUCAGUCAGUAUGGAAAGUGUGAGGGUGUUUUGUGGUGUUGCCUUGGUUGAGUUCCCUACUGGAGAGAAUGCCCAAAAUUUUAUGAAGCAAAGUUUGGUCUUUGCUGGUCUCGAGUUUUUAAGUUGAUCAGUCUUCUGAAAAAGCAUGGUGUGUCUGAAAGCAAGGUUUAUGCGUAUAUAGGUGGGAAGAGCGUUGGAUGAUGGUUCUAGUAAUCACUCUUUUCCCUUUUAAAGUAAUGCGCCCAGGCCGCUUGUACCUCCUGGUUUUGCUAGCACAAUUUCGGAAAGAGCAAGGGGCAAAACCUCAAUGAGGAGACAGAACCUAACUUCGACUUCCAUGGAGUUCUACCUUGUCCAACGGAGUACAUGGCUGUGGGGGUCAAGGAGAGGUAGCAGAAGCGGUGUGUGCCUGGAAGACAGCCACCUCGGAGUUCUGUGAGGAAGAAGAAGAUCAGCGAAAUCCAGAGAGGAGGAGGCUUGAAGAUUGAAGAUUGAAGAUUGAACCUUAGGUUUAGUUUUUUUUCUAGGUUUAGUUUAUUUUCUAAUUCUGAUUUGUUUUUGUAAACCAAAAUUUACCUGUAAACAAGAAAUAGAUUAAUAAAUAAAAUUUAAUUUUUAA